ACGAACGUUGGCGGCGUGGAUUAGGCAUGCAAGUCGAACGCGAAAGAGGGGGCAACCCCUCGAGUAGAGUGGCGAACGGGUGAGUAACGCGUGAGAAACCUGCCCAGAAGUGGGGGAUAACACUCCUAACGGGGUGCUAAUACCGCAUGCGGUGCUUGGGUCGCAUGGCCCGAACACCAAAGGUGGCCUCUGUUUACAAGCUAUCGCUUCUGGAUGGUCUCGCGUCCGAUUAGCUAGUUGGCGGGGUAAUGGCCCACCAAGGCGACGAUCGGUAGCUGGUCUGAGAGGAUGGUCAGCCACACUGGGACUGAGAUACGGCCCAGACUCCUACGGGAGGCAGCAGUCGAGAGGCUUCGGCAAUGGGGGAAACCC
rnacentral:rRNA from 1 species